rnacentral:misc_RNA from 1 species
GUUAUCACCAGGUGUCAGUGUCACCCAAUAUGGCUGCACCCUUGAAGCCGUGGGAGAGAGCUGGUGUUAACAGUCAAAAUCCAGGCCCCGCUCCCGUCAACAGCAUGUCUGGGGGUACACCUGCACCAUGCUGUGUUCAGGGCACAACCAGUGCACCACCACCAGUUCCAACUCGUCCUUCUCAGAAUACAUUUGGAGCCCGUCCAUAUGCAGGAGGGUAUGGUAUGGGAAGUUCACUAGGUUACAGCCCUUAUUCCUCCUAUGGUGGUGGUAUGUAUAACAGCCCUUAUAGCUCCUAUGGCAGCUAUGGGUAUGGUGGUUAUGGAGGAGGAUACAAUAGAUUCGGUGGAAACCAGGAUUCAAUGGGAACAUUUGCCCGCCAAGCAGAGGAGAAUUCUCGGCCAGCCUUCCAGGCUAUUGAGAAUGUUGUGAGUGCAGUGACUUCUGUAGGAAUGAUGAUGGACUCGACCUUCCAGGCAGUGUAUAAUUCAUUCCGGGCUGUGAUCGGUGUGGCUGACAACAUGUCCAGACUGAGGAGUCAGCUUGUUUCUGUGAUAUCUGCUUUAGCUUUCAUUCGGACCCUUAAAUACAUCUACAGGCGCUUCUUGGAACUGCUGCGAUUGCGACCACCAGGUCAUGCAGCCCAGGCCUGGAAUGAUGCUGUCUCCCAGGCUGCAGCCAAACUGGCCCCUGGGGAACCCACACCCAAGAACAGUGCCUGGCCCAUUUUCAUGUUCUUUGGCAUCAUCCUUGGAGGUCCCUGGCUUAUCUGGAAAAUCCUCAGGUCCUUCUCAACUGGCAUUGAUGAGACCAACAGCUGGGCAAACGGGGACGAGGAUCACUUUGUUGCCCGAGCUGAGUAUGACUUCCGUGCAAGCAACAACAAUGAACUAUCCUUCACUGCCGGACAGAUGAUCAACAUUGCUCCUAAAGAGAUGCAGCCCAAGGUACGAGGGUGGCUACUUGGAUCUGUGGAUGGAAGCAAUACAGGGCUGUUGCCAGCAAACUAUUUGAAAGUGCUGGGAAAGAGAAGAGGAAAGAAAUACCAGACUCCGUCUCCCGAGGGCGUUCCAGCCCCAGCAGCCACCAUCACCCCAUCACAAAGUUCUUUCUCUCUCACUGAGCCCACCCCAAGCUCCACAACCAUGAACUCUGUGCCUGAAAGUGACCUUGACACUGUCUUCAAUGAGGGGACAUCUGCAGAGCUGGAUGCAUCUGACAUUUUAGACAAAUGUGCUUCCCAGGACAAUGACCCUGAGUGUCCUUCUGUGUCUCAGACUGUGCCUACAAAGGACUGCUGUGCUGGCAAGUCAACGUGAGGGUCGGUAAUGGAUUGUUUGUGAUUUUAUUUGUACAUGCGCGAAUCUGUGAGAUUUCUUAAUGUUGUCAAUUAUUACUUUGUACAUAUUAAUAAUAAUCCUUGGUAAGUACUUGUUAUUUCUUAUUAAAACAAAAUGGAGGGCUUUUCAGUUUAUCACCAUGCAUAUACGACAAAUUUGUUUCUCACUUUUUGCUUAUUUGCUGGAAACUUUAGCUGUGUCAUGUUGGCUGUCUUCAUAUGACUUCAGUAACAUUUUAUGCUCACCUGGAUUAAAGUCAGGUGAGUUUGUGUUAUCUAUGUCUGCCCAUUUUUAACUUUCUGCUGUGAAAAAUACAAGACCUCAUGAGCUAAAACUUUAAGAAAUAACAGCUAUGAUGUUGAUACAAAGUGCAUGAUGGCCUCAGAGAAAAUGUCAUUUCUGGCCAUCUCUCAGCCUUUUCUGCUUGAAAAAAAACAUAUAAGAUUUUUUGUCAUAGUUUGAUUUUCCUAAUUACCUAACAGCAUUUAACUUUCACGCGCCAAGUUUUGUAGUCUGACAUUUGUCUUACCUUAUACUACAAAGGCAAGAGGAAACUUUGUACGAAUGAUUCCAGAUAUGGAAUAUCUGCAUAUUUUCUCAUUUGAUUCUGAUGUAAUAUGGCCACCAUGGCCACUAUAGACUAUGAGUCAGCCAUCCUUUUUCAAAUAGGUGUUAAAUUUGGUGUGUCUAGUUAGGCAAAACAUACAUGUUCCCUGUAUAUGAAUUUUGAUCCAGAUUCAUCCUUUAAAGCGUAAUAGCCUGUGUCACCGAAGUGAAAAUGCUGUUGUACGACAUUUGGAAACCUUAUCUUUAACCCCAACCAUGCACUUGCCUACCAAUGAGUACCAUCAUGUUAUCUGCAUAUAUUGGGGAGCAAUGGCAAAAAGUAGGUUUCUGCAUGAUGUCUGAAUAAUAAUCAUCAGAUAUUGAACAUUGGAAGAGGCUUGAAGUAUCAAUCGGAUGGUCCAGACACAUAUGAUAAUCCUUCAAUAGUAUAUAUAUAUAGCAGGAAAUAGUGAAGCAAGCUCAAGCAGGCACAAUGUGUUCACAGAUAGCUGGUCAGCAAUUUUGCCAGAUUUACUGGUGUGUUGGUUACCCCAGGGCUUGUCAUAGCCGAAACAGCCAUUGCUUCAGUUGUGGAGGCAUGGGCUAUUGUCCCGCAGUAUCUCAAAGAAUGGCCUUUCCAGCCUCUACUCUUGAUAACCUUGACACUGACUGUAUUGCUUUCUUAAUAUUUGAAAAAUCAAAUGAAACUAAAAAAAGUUGAAAUUUUGAUCUUCAGGAUUACUUUGCGCGCAGGUCUCAAACUUUGUGUAGAAGAUCCAAUUGUAUUCAUGGUAUCAUUUUUCUAACGUGUAAUGCACAAAAACCUUUUGUUUCAUUUUACCUGAAUCUUUCAGGGUAUUGUAACUUGAUGCUGAUAUGUGUACCAGAAUGUUUGUCAUAAGUCAAGUGAGCUACAGAACCUGGGGUCUCAAUUUCUAUAGAUCAUUUUGAUCAUCCGGAGCAUUUUGAAGCAGUAAUCUGGGUUUUAUGCACAAACUAAUCAUAUAUGUUGGUAUCAAAAGUGUUUCACUAUUCAGGUCAACAACAUCUACUCCAGACACUGAUUCAAUUUGCUAUCCAGUACACAGGCUGCAUGUAUAUUAAAAUUGUGUUGGAUAAAUCAUGUGCCAUCUUGUGUUGCAUAUAAAUAAAAAAAUAUGUUUGAUAUAUCACAUUUUCCCUUUUGUAUUGAGACUAAUUUGACGUAUGCAAUUAUAUAAUAUACUGUUUCAAUGCAAUUCUGAGGUAAAAUUGAUGUAACUUUGAUGUACAAAUGGAUCCUUCAUGUGGACAUUCUCAGUGUCUUGCUGUGUUUCAUCAUGCACCAGUUGUGUGGAUCACAUCUAAAUCCUUCAGUUACAGUGGCGGUGGGGUAGCCUAGUGGUUAUAGCGUUCGCUCUUCACCGGAAGACCCGGGUUCGAUUCCCCACAUGGGUACAACUUGUGAAGCCCAUUUCUGGUGUUCCCCGCCAUGAUGUUGCUGGAAUAUUACUAAAAACGGCAUAAAUCCAAACUCAGUCAGUCAGGUUUGGCUAGGCAUGACUAUAUUAUGUGGCAGUUUUAAGAUAACAGUCAACAAGCACUUUUAGAAAAGUAUGUUUGCCUAAUCUGUGAUGCUGUGCAGUAAGCACUCAGUAAUGACAUUAAAAUGAACCUGAAAAUAUUUUUCUUGUUUCCUACUGGCUCGUUAUCAUUUUUGCUAUUUUUUAUGGGUUUACAACAAUACCACCCCAGUAUUGUUGACUUCAUACUACUAAAAUAAUGUGUUGAGUGUCACCCUAGUUAACAAAUCAUUAUGUGCUUCUGAAAACAGACAUACCUGCAUACUGAAAAUUACGGUCCUUAUAAAACAUCAACACAAAAUAAGAAUCCUACCUUACCUAAUUUUUGCUUCUACUGAAAGCGUUUUGGGAGUUUAGUGUUUGUUUGUGUAUAUUUAUUUCGGUGGGUAGGGGUGUCGGUUAAGGAGGAACAGGAGGAACAUCCACCAAAAACAUGAGGUAUGGUUUGUUGGAGAUGUUAUCAGGUGUGUGUGGAAGUGAGAUGUGUAAAAUCUGUAUGUACAUCAAUCACCAAGAAUUGUACAUGGGUCUGAGCAAGGUAGCUGUUUAAAAACAAUUAUGAUUUUAUCAUUGUAUAAGAUGUUAUAGAUCAACUCAUUUUUCAGGAAAUAAAAACUCUAUAUGUUAGA